rnacentral:rRNA from 1 species
CCUACGGGGUGCAGCAGUGGGGAAUAUUGGACAAUGGGGGCAACCCUGAUCCAGCCAUGCCGCGUGUGUGAAGAAGGCCCUCGGGUUGUAAAGCACUUUCAGUGAGGAAGAACGCCUGGUGGUUAAUACCCAUCAGGAAAGACAUCACUCACAGAAGAAGCACCGGCUAACUCCGUGCCAGUAGCCGCGGUAAUACGGAGGGUGCGAGCGUUAAUCGGAAUUACUGGGCGUAAAGCGCGCGUAGGUGGCUUGAUAAGCCGGUUGUGAAAGCCCCGGGCUCAACCUGGGAACGGCAUCCGGAACUGUCAAGCUAGAGUGCAGGAGAGGAAGGUAGAAUUCCCGGUGUAGCGGUGAAAUGCGUAGAGAUCGGGAGGAAUACCAGUGGCGAAGGCGGCCUUCUGGACUGACACUGACACUGAGGUGCGAAAGCGUGGGUAGCAAACAGGAUUAGAUACCCUAGUAGUC